rnacentral:rRNA from 1 species
AUGGCCUUGCCGGCGAUCCCCGACGAGCUCCUGGUAGAAAUCUUCCUCCGCCUCCCCACCCCAGGUGACCUCAUCCGCGCCUCCGCCGCCUGCGCCUCCUUCCGUCGCCUCGUCGCCGACCGCUCCUUCCUCCGGCGCUUCCGCAAGAUCCACCCCUCGCCCCUCCUCGGCUUCCUCUACCCAGGGCAGCACCGCUUCCACCCCGCCGUCCGGCCUCACCCCUCCGCACCGGCGGCCGGCGCCGUCGCCCUCGCGGCCGACUUCUCCUUCGCCUUCCUCCCCGCCCCCGCCAGGGACUGGUCCGUGCGGGAAGUCCGCGACGGCCGCGUCCUCCUCGACAGAUCCCGCCGCCACGACUCCGGUGAUGGGCUGGAAGCCCUCUUCAAGCAGAUGGUGAUGUGCGACCCCUUGCACCGGCAGUAUCUCCUGCUCCCCCCAAUCCCCGAUGACCUAGCCGCUUCGGUCGUGGACCAACUCCUGGUAGAAGGGCAUUGCUUGGCCGAGACCUUCCUCGUCCCUCCCGGCAACGGCGACGAGGAGGAGGAGGGGACAUCAUUCCGGGUGGUCUGGAUGGUGCUGCUUCAAGCCAAGCUAGUGGCCGCUGUCUUCUCUUCCGGCACAGGGAAAUGGCGAGCCUUUUCAAGCGAGCUGUUGCCGGGCUUCGUCGUGUCGCGCCAUUACGCCCAUGGCUGCUUCUACUGGGUUUCAGGUUCAACUGAAAAAUUGCUGGUGCUUGACAUUCAGAGGAUGAAGUUCUCCAUGGCCGACCACCCGCCCUGUGCCAGACAUUCCGGCGACGUUGUGGCCAUUGUGGAGGCAGGCCAAGGCAUGAUCUGGAUGUUUGUGCCUAAACCCGACACAUCUCGCCUUAAAUACAACGUUUGGCGAAACAAUGCUGGGAUUUCUACCCAGUGGCAGAUGGAGAAGAUGACAUUCUCGCUGCUCCAAGUGGGGAGGCACUUGCUCCUAUAUCAGUGUGGAAGCUCGUUGGUCAAGUCUGGUGGUUUCACGCUGGACGUCAACACAUUGCAGUGUGAGAGGGUGUGCGCUUCCUUGCCCAAACCGUCGCACAUACAUUGCAACUUCCCACCGUCGUUAUUGGCGGCGCCGACAGUGUCAAGUGCCAAACCCCAAGCUGGCGUCCGGGGAGAGGGGGACGCCGUGCGGGUGCCUGAACUACAAGAACCCGACCCUGGAAGCGUGGAAGUGCACGUCCUCGCGGCGGCGGACCAAGCUCCAAACCCCUUGUUCGUCGGCGGCAACGAUGCCGAGGCGGGUUGUGGUGGGCGAGGAGGAGGCGCUGGGGCUGGUGCAGGGGCUGGACCUCCGGAGGGUGCAGGGGCGGGCGGCGUAGCUCGAGAGGGCGUGCAAGGAGGCGAGGGGCCUGCCGGUACCAGGGUGUCGAGGAGGACGACUGCGGCCAAGGGCAACAAAUCCUUCAGCUGGAGGGGCUGCUUGCCUUUUUGGAUGUGA